AUAUUCUUAAAAGAAAAUAAGAAGAAGAAAAUUGAGGUUAAUAGUACAUGUACCAUCACAAAAAUAUAAAAAAAGUACUUAUUUAGGAUGUAAUGCGCAGAAUCACAUAACAUAUUUUGAUACCAAAAUGUGACAAUAUAAUACACAAAACUUCUUGUAUUAAUAUUGUACACAAUCAUUUCAUAAUGAAAAUAAUAUUUACAUAAAAUAAAGUAACAUUUACAUGUAUCCAGAAACUGGUGCCACUCUCACUGGAAUGCCAGUGGCAUGAAAAAUAGACCACCUUUCUAUUCAAAACAGCGCUGGACUGGCGCAAAAAGUGUUUACACUUGAACAAAACCCUAUACAAGAUAACUCUGUCACAUCCUUGGUAGAGGAAGAAAUUAGAAUAAUCACAAGAAACUUCCUUGAUGGACAACGGAUCAUCCAAGUAACGAAUCAAGACUGCUAAAUACCCCUCCUGGAUUUGAAAGGUGACUGAAGAAACCAUGGCCAACAGACUUAAUAAAUUAACUAUUUAUAUGAACUAAUAUAAAAUAUAUUAUACAGGAGAGUUGCCACAUGGCAGCUUCUCCCUCAUGUGUUCAACAUUCACACCAUUUACUUAUAGCUUCAUGAUCAGAUGGUAAAUUAAAUUGUGUAUUAAAUAAAAAAAAAUGUCAAAAUAUUUUUUAUACCUAAAGGUGGAGCAGAAUCUAUUUCCUGAAUUUCAGUUAUACAAUUUUGAUCGCUUAUGGAAGAUGUUUGUUGUCCUUUAUAUACUUUCUUAUUUUGUACACCAAUCCUUUUUCUCGGCGAUUCCAAAUUCAAUUCUUGUUCUGCAUUACUUCCAAUCAUUGCAGGAAGUAUUUGUAUUGUACGAUGACCUGAUACUAAAGAUAUAGGAAAAGUCAAACAAUGAGGAAUGCACAUAACUUUCCCCUUGUUGCCAUAUUCUAAAUUUGAAAAAAUAUAUAGAGAAUAGUCAGGUUUUUUUGAUAUGCCAUUCCUAUUACAGCAAGCAUUUCAUUGGCUAGAAUUAGUGACGAGUAUAAUAUAUGAUGUCAUGGUAACUGACGUCUGUCAUAAUAUUGGAGGUUAUAUUUAUAAUGUCAAAUUAUUGUUUUCAAUUUAUAUUUUAUUUAUUUAGUUUAUAUUUUAACAACGGUUUAUUUUUUAAAUAACUUUACUUUCCCUUCUGUAUCCUUGAUUGGUCGUUUAGGUUCGUAAUGGUUUUCUUGUAUGGUAGGUUUAGUUAGGCAUUAAUUUUAAGAAAUGUUGCUGGCUAAAUGGGCACAGCUUCCAAAGGCCACAAAAGAAGAAGAAAAAAUAAACAAACAAAAA